UGCGGGGAGCCGGGGGGCACGGCGGGGCUGGGCCGCCCGCGGGAGCCUUGGAAAAGCUCCUGGGAAGUUUUGGGCUUCGUGCCGCGAGUGGGGCGUCCCCAGGGCAAGGCUGCCGCAGGAGCGGGAGGGUUCGCCUCCGCUCCGGGAUCCCCGUUUCCUCGCCGCGGCAGGUUUUCCCUGCGGUUAUCCGCUGUCAUUUGGAAGUUGCUUCCUUGUGACGCCACGUGCGGCGCUUCCCCCGUGCGGUGCGGGGCGGGGGCGGGAAGAAAACUCCCGUGAAAUGUGCGGCUGCCUCGCUGACAGUUUUGUAUUCUGUUAUAAUUAAGAAGUAUAUUGCAAGCAAAGCAAGGAAAAAAGCAGAGAGGCUGCUCAGUUUAAAAACUCGAAAUUACCCUGCUCGGAACUGUGUAUUUUGUUACCAAGUGUUUUGGAAUAUCCAGCUGGGGAGUCACUGUCAGCUCCUGGGUGUAAGUGCCUGCUGUGAAUCAGGACUGUAGCAGGUGUUCUUCUGGGAUGAUGUGUGACCCUGAUACCUCCCACCAAGCUUGUGCCUGGCCAGCAGCUUUAAAUCUGAGAGCUGUUGCUGACCCUCCUCUUGGAAGGGCAGAGACAGGUAACUGAGCCCUACAGUGAUGGAUUUGGGAGUUCUAUAAUACAUACGGUAAAGUUGAACUUAUGUUUAUUAAUUUUUAUUUCUAAGAUUUUAGUUUCUUAAAAGUCAGCCACAUGAAGUGAACAGCCCCUGUACUGGCUUUGCCAGACUUGUUAGAAGGAGGGCAAAAUGUGAGGAAAAAGUUACCUUUCAUUUUAGAAAGGCUAAUGUCUAGUGGUUAAUAGAUCAUUGGAAGCUGGGGUAUCUGGAUUAGAUUCACAGCUGUGUUUUUGGCUCUCUGACUAGAGCAAGUCACUUAAUUUUUCAUACUUGCAUUUACUUAUCUGUGAAAUGAAUAAUGUAGCAUCUGUUUUCUGGAGAUGUUGCACUUCAUUCAUUGCAGGCUGUAUCGAUCACUGUGAUCUUUCAGUGGAAAAUGGUGUACAAGCAAUAUUAACAAA